UUAUUUUGUUUUUUUUAUGGCCUUCAUUGAGUUUAUCCGUUUUUCAGGUUUCAUUUUUGGAGUCUGAUCUGCAUAGUUGGAAGCUAUAGGAAUUUUUAUCAUAGCAUAACAUGGAAUUCUGAUAAAUACAUUCUGAAAAAUCCAGGGUGGUGAUAUUUGUUAUCUCAUUCAAGAAAUGACCCAGGUAGAUGGGGGCCGCGGGUUUGGUUGUGGAGAUGGAUCAAAAAUUGAUUUUUAAAUUCAGGAAAAAGAAAAGGAAAAAGUAAAUAAUUUAUAAUGAUUUUGUUGUCUUAUUAAUACAUCAUUUUGGAGUGUUGGAGUGUUGGGAAAUGCUUAAGUGUUCCUGACCUUGUGAUGUUUUCAUGUUGUCUCGAGCUUCAUCGUCUAAUACGAUGCAUGAUUCGGUA